UACGGAGGGAGCAAGCGUUGUCCGGAAUCACUGGGUUUAAAGGGAGCGUAGGCUGCUGCAUAAGUCAGGGGUGAAAGUUUGUCGCUUAACGAUAGAAUUGCCUUUGAUACUGUGCGGCUUGAAAUUAGGUGAGGUUGGCGGAAUGUGACAUGUAGCGGGGAAAGGCGUAGAUAUUUCAUAGAACACCGAUUGCGAAGGCAGCUGGCUAACCUAAAUGGGACGCUGAGGCACGGAAGCGUGGGUAGCAAACAGG
rnacentral:rRNA from 1 species